UGGCGAGCGGGUGAGUAACACGUGAGUAACCUGCCCUUGACUUUGGGAUAACUUCAGGAAACUGGGGCUAAUACCGGAUAGGAGCUCCUGCUGCAUGGUGGGGGUUGGAAAGUUUCGGCGGUUGGGGAUGGACUCGCGGCUUAUCAGCUUGUUGGUGGGUAGUGGCUUACCAAGGCUUUGACGGGUAGCCGGCCUGAGAGGGUGACCGGCCACAUUGGGACUGAGAUACGGCCCAG
rnacentral:rRNA from 1 species